rfam:Oryza rufipogon genomic scaffold, chr01
AAUACUUGUCGCUUUAAGUUCUUGUUCGUAACGUUUAAUCAUUCGUCUUAUUCAAAAAAGUAUGAAAUUAUUAUUUGUUUUGUUUGUUACUUACUUUAUUAUGAAAAGUACUUCAAGUAUGACUUAUCCUUUUAUAUUUGCACUAAUUUUUCAAAUAAGACGAAUGGUUAAACGUUGCAAGUAAAAAAUCAAAGCGACCACUUAUU